rnacentral:rRNA from 1 species
UACGUAGGUGGCGAGCGUUGUCCGGAUUUACUGGGCGUAAAGGGCGCGCAGGCGGUCGUGUAAGUCGGGUGUGAAACCCCCAGGCUCAACCUGGGGACGCCACCCGAUACUGCUGUGGCUAGAGUCCAGUAGGGGAGUGUGGAAUUCCCGGUGUAGCGGUGAAAUGCGUAGAUAUCGAGAGGAACACCUGCGGCGAAGGCGGGUUGCUGGGCCGACACUGACGCUGAUGCGCGAAAGCCAGGGGAGCGAACGGG